GUGGGGAAUAUUCCGCAAUGGACGAAAGUCUGACGGAGCAACGCCGCGUGAGUGAUGAAGGUUUUCGGACUGUAAAGCUCUGUUGUUUAGGACGAAAGUGCCUGUUGCGAACAGUUACAGGUAUUGACGGUACUAAACGAGGAAGCCACGGCUAACUACGUGCCAGCAGCCGCGGUAAUACGUAGGUGGCAAGCGUUGUCCGGAAUUAUUGGGCGUAAAGAGCAUGUAGGCGGAGAUUUAAGUCUGUUGUGAAAAUGCGGGGCUCAACCCCGUAUUGCGAUGGAAACUGAAUUUCUUGAGUGCAGGAGAGGAAAGGGGAAUUCCCAGUGUAGCGGUGAAAUGCGUAGAUAUUGGGAGGAACACCAGUGGCGAAGGCGCCUUUCUGGACUGUGUCUGACGCUGAGGCGCGAAAGCCAGGGGAGCGAACGGGAUUAGAUACCCCGGUAGUCC
rnacentral:rRNA from 1 species